CCACACAGAGCCGCCGGGAGGGGGCGCUCACCCGAGCUCGAACAGCAGCGCCUCCUUCAGGCCCAGCAGGGCGGUGCCCACCGAGAGGAGGAAGAUGGCGCCGCCAAGGAAGACGUGCUGCGGCCGGUAGCGGCUCCGCAGAGAAAACGACGCGCCGGGGAACAGGAAGAAGCUAAAGCCCAUGAGCCACUGGGAGGAAAGGCGAGGAGCUGCCGGAGGCUGAGCUGCGCUGGAGACUGGAGCCCGAGGACGCCCCAGGUGGGCCGCCGCCCGCGAGGACCAAAGGCCCCGCCACCCCCGCGCGGUGGCCUACGGCCGGAGACGCAGCGGGAACGCUGAGCACGUGGGGAACGUGGGCCGGCGCUCUAGGCCGGUCUCAGCCCCACACUGUGCGCCCCGAGGCGGGGCCUGGGACCAAAUCCACGUGCCUGUCGGCCAGAAGGGCGCCGGAAGGACGCCGGUCAGAGGCAGCGCUCGGCGGGCUGGAGCGCCUUUCGCCUGUGCGCACACCUGGCCCCGGCCCUGUUUGGGCCCUGCUCCCCGCCCCUCCCCAGCGCCGUGGAGCCGCAAGGACUCACCUGCACAAAGAAGAGGACGAAGACCAGAAUGCCACACCAGCUGUGCAGGCUGUACAGCUCCCAGCUGGAGAUGAAAGAAGUCCUGCCCACAGAGAGCUGCAGGGCAGCUGCCCGUAGAAGGAACGUUCUCUGAGCCGCUUCAGUAGAAAGGACCAGGCGACAGGAGCCUCCGAGCUGCCCGUUUCCCUUCCUGCCUCGUCUUCCCUUCCACACCUGGGGCGUGGGCCUGCGCCCCUCCCUCAGGCCAGGCUUCCUGAACUGAGAUCUACAAGCCUCAGGGGCAGCAAAGGAGGCCAGAAAAUCAUCGGCAGCCCGAGCAGAAGCAGCAGCAAUGGUGGCGGGAGCGGCAGCACGCGGGGGACUGACCACAAAGCUCCCAGUGAAGACGGUUCCGUACGAGCCACAGGGCCGAUGAGGCUGCCAGAACAGCCACGGCCCUCGGGCUGCACCAAUAGACUCACGUUAACCGGAUCAGGACCCCUCUGCCCCAGCCCUGAGGUUAGACCAGCCCUGGGGUCUUCCUCAAACACGGGCGUGCGGUUUACCAGGAAUAUGGAAGCGCUGCAAUCCAUUCACGGGAGGAUGAGCCGGUACGGAGAGAUCUGGAAACCCUCUCUUCCCGGGAGUCACUGGAGGUGAUGGAUUUCUCCUGGAGAAAAGGAGACCUGGACAGACAGACCUCUCCUGUCGGAGGAUGGUCGUGCCAAAGAGAGAAAAGACGAAGUGUGUCUCUAGAGAGCAGAGUGAAGAACAGUAAGUAUAAAUGGUGAGGCGGGAGACACAACAGAAGAAGGCAGUUCCUAACAGCGGGAGCAAUCCGGCCCACCAGAGUGGUGAGCUCCCUGUCCCUGGAAACGUCCUGAUGGAAGCAGGAUGAUGUCAGGGAUAUCAUGGCCAUCACUGGCAGGAGACCAGCAUUUCCUAACCUCUCUUCCCCUUCCGAACAUCCCACUGUUCACGAAUCCCAUGUUUGAUAAUAAUGUAUCUAUUUAAUAAAUUGUACUUAU